rnacentral:rRNA from 1 species
UAGGAAUCUUCCACAAUGGACGCAAGUCUGAUGGAGCAACGCCGCGUGAGUGAAGAAGGUUUUCGGACCGUAAAGCUCUGUUGUUGGUGAAGAAGGAUAGAGGUAGUAACUGGCCUUUAUUUGACGGUAAUCAACCAGAAAGUCACGGCUAACUACGUGCCAGCAGCCGCGGUAAUACGUAGGUGGCAAGCGUUGUCCGGAUUUAUUGGGCGUAAAAGCGAGCGCAGGCGGAAGAAUAAGUCUGAUGUGAAAGCCCUCGGCUUAACCGAGGAAUUGCAUCGGAAACUGUUUUCUUGAGUGCAGAAGAGGAGAGUAGAACUCCAUGUGUAGCGGUGGAAUGCGUAGAUAUAUGGAAGAAUACCAGUGGCGAAGGCGGCUCUCUGGUCUGCAAACUGACGCUGAGGCUCGAAAAGCAUGGGUAGCGAACAGGAUUAGAUACCCCGGUAGUCCAUGCCGUAAAACGAUGAGUGCUAAGUGUUGGGAGGCUUCCGCCUCUCAGUGCUGCAGCUAACGCAUUAAGCACUCCGCCUGGGGGAGUACGACC